AAUUAUUUUUUUUCGACAGGGGCAGCGGUGAUCACUACCGCAAGUAAACGCGAGCUGAAAGUGUGAUUGUGUUAGUGUGCCAAUUACGUUUGAAUUAAGAAUGAUAGAAUACAAGAUUGCGCCGAUUGCAGCAGAA